CACGUAGGGGGCAAGCGUUGUCCGGAAUUAUUGGGCGUAAAGAGCUCGUAGGCGGCUCGGUAAGUCGGGUGUCAAAUCCUCAGGCUCAACCUGAGGCUCCACUCGAUACUGCUGUGGCUAGAGUCCGGUAGGGGAGCGUGGAAUUCCUGGUGUAGCGGUGAAAUGCGCAGAUAUCAGGAGGAACACCGCGCGAAGGCGGCGCUCGUCGGCAUAACUGACGCUGAGAAGCGAAAGCCAUGGGGGAGCGAAACAGG
rnacentral:rRNA from 1 species